GACGUGGGGUCGCGUGUGCGCCAAUGACACCAGCCCCGCCACAGCUGCCGUUGUCUGCCGCCAGCUGGGCUGUGGCACCGGGGGGAGGCUGGAGGCCGUCCCCGCACAGGGCUCUGUCCCCGCCUGGCUGGGCUGGGUGCAAUGCCAGGAGGGGGCCCCCUCGCUCUGGCGCUGCCCCUCGGCGCCCUGGCACCUGCAGUCCUGCGGUCCUGCCGGGAUCAUCCACAUCGCCUGUGACGAGGACACCGAGGGCACGAGCGGGGCCACCACAACUGCAGGUGUCACCAGCAGCGUUGCCCCACUGACAGCAGUGUCGGGGAGCGUGCCGGUGCCCACGGUCCUGUGCGUGCUCCUGGGGACGUUGCUGGGCCUGGCCCUGGCAGCCCUGGCUGUGUAGGCACACCGCGCACGGGUGCAACGCCGAGACCCCGUCAAAGCCACGGACGCCGGCUCUGAGGCCGUGUAUGAGGAGCUGGAUUACAGCCUGAUGCCCGAGUACCAGGAGGUGCCCAGCCGCACAGGCUCCCUAUCCAAGGGCUCAGGCACGAAGCUGGAUGAUGAUAACUGGGAUGGUUACAAGGAG